AGUGAACGCUGGCGGUAGGCCUAACACAUGCAAGUCGAACGGCAGCACAGUAAGAGCUUGCUCUUACGGGUGGCGAGUGGCGGACGGGUGAGGAAUACAUCGGAAUCUACUUUUUCGUUGGGGAUAACGUAGGGAAACUUACGCUAAUACCGCAUACGACCUACGGGUGAAAGCAGGGGAUCUUCGGACCUUGCGCGAUUGAAUGAGCCGAUGUCGGAUUAGCUAGUUGGCGGGGUAAAGGCCCACCAAGGCGACGAUCCGUAGCUGGUCUGAGAGGAUGAUCAGCCACACUGGAACUGAGACACGGUCCAGACUCCUACGGGAGGACGCAGUGGGGAAUAUUGGACAAUGGGCGCAAGCCUGAUCCAGCCAUACCGCGUGGGUGAAGAAGGCCUUCGGGUUGCAAAGCCCUUUUGUUGGGAAAGAAAAGCAGCAGGUUAAUACCCCGCUGUUCUGACGGUACCCAAAGAAUAAGCACCGGCUAACUUCGUG
rnacentral:rRNA from 1 species